rnacentral:rRNA from 1 species
AAUGAACGCUGGCGGCGCGCCUAAUACAUGCAAGUCGAGCGAGAAGACGUAGCAAUACGUUUGUAAAGCGGCGAACGGGUGAGGAAUACAUGGGUAACCUACCCUCGAGUGGGGAAUAACUAGCCGAAAGGUUAGCUAAUACCGCGUACGCUUCUUGGACUUCGGUUCAGGGAGGAAAGCGAUACCGUGGGUAUCGCGCUCUUGGAUGGGCUCAUGUCCUAUCAGCUUGUUGGUAAGGAACGGCUCACCAAGGCUUCGACGGGUAGCUGGUCUGAGAGGACGAUCAGCCACACUGGCACUGCGACACGGGCCAGACUCCUACGGGAGGCAGCAGUAAGGAAUAUUGCGCAAUGGGCGAAAGCCUGACGCAGCGACGCCGCGUGGGGGAUGAAGGUCUUCGG